rnacentral:rRNA from 1 species
CUUAAUACCCGCUGAAUUUAAGCAUAUAAGUCAGCUGUUACCCCCCUGGGAAAUAAGCAUAUCAAUAAGCGGAGGAAAAGAAACUAACCAGGAUUCCCCUAGUAACGGCGAGCGAACCGGGAAAAGCCCAACUUGAAAAUCUCCUGCCCACGGCAGGCGAAUUGUAGUCUAUAGAUCCGUUCUCUGCGUCCGGGCCGGCCGAAGUUCCUUGGAAACGGACGUCGUAGAGGGUGAGAGCCCCGUAGGCCGGCUGGUGUCGCUCCACGAGGCGGAAUCGAAGAGUCGGGUUGUUUGGGAAUGCAGCCCAAAGUCGGUGGUGAAUCCCAUCUAAGGCUAAAUAAGGGCGAGAGACCGAUAGCGAACAAGUACCGCGAGGGAAAGAUGAAAAGAACUUUGAAGAGAGAGUGAAAUAGUGCCUGAAAUUGUUGGGGGGGAAGCGGUCGGACGUCGGGGUGCCCCGCGGCUUAGGUCCCCUGGACGGGGGGCUGUAUGCUCGCGGGGCUGGUCAGCACGGGCAUGCCGGUGGGGAGAAAUGCCGGAUUUGAUUCCGGCUCCUACCCGGCGGUGUGCCGAGGUAAACGGGCGCCGCGACCUUCGGGAUCUGCGUCCGCAAGGUGCUGGCAGAAGGCGUUCGACCGGCCCGUUGAAAAACAACGAAGAAAAG